AUCUCUCUAGUUUUCAGUUUCUCGCAAUCUCAUUCAAGUUUAGUUAGUUUAGAUCUAGUUUAUAUUUCCAGUGUAUUCCUAUCAUAUGUGUCACACUAUACCGUGUAUAAGUUAAUCUCUAAUAGUAAAGUUUUUCUCUAUGAAUUCACGACGCCUUGCCUUGAUCUCUUGUUUUGUUUCUUUCCUAGUUUCUCUCCCUACUCGAUCCAGCACUUUUGGAGAUAGUUUCGAGGCAAAAACAUUAACGAACAUCUCUACUCAUUAAAUUAGGCAGAUUCACAAUGAUAAUGAAAUUCUAACCUUAUAAAUGUUUUUAAGAAAUUAAACUAUAAUAUUAAUGAAUAUAAAAAGGUCAUAUCACAUUAGAUUAGUUUUAAGUGUGGUUACUCUUAUCAUGUCCUCUUAUCACCAAAAACAUGCCUAUAAAGUUUAAAUUGAUCUGAAUUAAUUUAGUUAAAAUUUAACUUUUAAACCAUUUUAUAUAGUCACUAUUCAUUUAAACUAGACAACUCCGAUCGACACAACAAAUUAUUAGUGUGAGAGACUUUUGUGCAGUGACUAAGUAUAUUGAAUUAAAUUACAAAUUUAAUAGAUGUGUUUUAUUAUUACUAAAUAUUAAAAUAUAUAGACAUAAAAAUUAUCAUAACUUUAAUUUUCAUACUAUUUGUACGACGUUACAACCAAAUAUCGAGUUUUGUAGUUCUUAUGUGGAUUUAUAAAUAUAUUUAAUUAUAUUAAAUAAAAUGUUAAUUGACAACUUAUAAAUAAUUGAUCAACCACCGAUAAUUAUGCCGGGAGAUCUUUAAAUUUUCUUUUUAAAGUAAAAAUUAUAAUUUCUAUACUAUUAAUGUACUAAUAUAAUUCAAUAUUGUUUUAUAGUUUUUUUAAACCUAUAUAAAUCUAUAUAAUGCUAAUAUAUAUUAAAAACUUAUUUGACAAUAUAAAAAAAUUGGUCACUCAUUGAUAACAACAAUAUAAACAUCCUUUUAAUUUUUCACAUUUUACCUCUCUUUUCUGUCAGUAAUAUUAAUGUAGACGAGAUUAGACAAUAAACUAUUCAAAAAAUUAAUUUACAAUUUAAUUAGUUGGGUCACUUUUUAAUUAUAUUUUAGUAAGAAUGAGUUUUUUCUAAUUAUAAUUACAUUAAUAAUCUUACAGUAAAAAUUUUCGUUUAAUAUAACAUAAUAUUAUUUGUUGUUCCUUAUUCUCAAAUGCUACACAUCAAGAACAAAACAAAACGAUUGUUAACGAUUAGAGACCUUCGUCCUUCGAAGCAUUAUUUACUUUAGGACAUAAUGGUCUUCGGACGAAGGUUAUGAAGAACAUAUCUUCUUCAUUUCAACAAACAUAUAUAAAUGAAUACGUAAGAAAUAUAAAAGAAUAUAAAUAAUAAUGGAAUGUCAAUAAAUCAUUUAUAUUCUCUUUUUUUAUUCAUGAAUAAAUAUUCGUAAUAUUCAAUUACAUUAGUACCUUCGGCUUGUCAGAAGAUAAAAAUGUGAAUGACGCAAGAGUGAUUCCAGACCAGCGUGAAUAGUACGAUAUUACUGUUCACCUAUUUAUAGACACGGGACGCAGCCCGGACAAAAUUACAUUCAUGUCCCUAACUUUUACUGUUAACAAUAAGACAAACUAUUAAGGGUUAGGUAGUCUUUUCUCCUUUAGGUCGGUUCCGUACUCCACCUUCGUCAUUGUGCUAAGCCGAAGCUUCUUCGACCACAGCUUCGGCGCUCAUUCAUCCUGCUCCCGGAUUGUACCUCCGUAUCACGCAUGCUUUCAUCCCAAAUUCGAAGCCUCUUGUAUUAGUCUAUGUUACACUGAAAAACAUAUUAGUCACGCUUUUGAGGACUUUUGGAAGAGAAAGGCUACCAACAGUAGCCCCUCGCAGUAUUAAUUUGAUUCUAUAUUAACGAAUUCAGACUGCGACGUGAACGAAGGUCUUUAGCCGAAGGUCCGAAAAAACAUCUUCCCUUCACUAGAAUAGCGAAAGUCAAUGCCAUGUAGGGCCCGCCAGGUUGUGAUGCGCUGGGCAUAUAAAUAGGGACUCACAUUGAUAGCGUUUGAUGUGCCAUUUCAACCAUUUGCGCUAUUUUUGUCAUUCUGAAUUUUCUUGCUCUACAAAAUUUUGAUUAGUUUGUAAGCUUCGAUAUUUGCACAAGCGCUAACUAAAUGGCUGAAGAGAAGAAGUUUGUUGACCCUACAUUAGCUGGGUUUUAUGAGGCUAUGGAGAAGACAAACAUAGAGAAAAUCACCAAUGAAAUGCUGGCUGGGUUAUCUGAAGAUUCCAACGAUAGCGAAAGUUUCGAUUUGGAUAGCGGAAACGAAGAUGCCGAAGAUUGGCCAUGGCGGCCGAGUCAUACCAUCUUCGGAAAGUCAUCCAUCAAGCAAAGCCAGAUUGAUGCUAUUAAGGGGAGAUAUUUCCGCGAUAUUUCUAUUGUGAGGGCUAAAGGUCUGCCCCUACACCCGAAGUAAACGAAGUUGUUGUCUACAGAAGCUUUAUGAAGGCAGGGCUUCGGUUUCCCUUGAGUAAUUUUUUAGUUGAAGUCCUGAAGACUUUUGAUAUUUAUCUUCAUCAGAUUACCCUUGAGGUUGUCGUCAGAAUGGAGGUUUUUAUUUAGGCCGUGAGGAGCCAAGGACUAGAGCCGAGUGCAAAAUGCUUCUGUAACAUGCAUGAGUUGUCCUAUGAGACUAAGGCUACUGACAAGUAGCAAUAUCAUAAUAAUUUUGGUU
rnacentral:lncRNA from 7 species